rnacentral:rRNA from 1 species
AUAAGGUUAAGUUAAUAAGGGCGCACGGUGGAUGCCUUGGCACUAGAAGCCGAUGAAGGACGUGACUAACGACGAAAUGCUUUGGGGAGUUGUAAGUAAACAUUGAUCCAGAGAUGUCCGAAUGGGGGAACCCGGCAUGUGAUGCAUGUCACUCAUUACUGUUAAGGUAAUGAAGAGGAAGACGCAGUGAACUGAAACAUCUAAGUAGCUGCAGGAAGAGAAAGCAAAUGCGAUUGCCUUAGUAGCGGCGAGCGAAGCGGCAAGAGGGCAAACCGAUGUGUUUACACAUCGGGGUUGUAGGACUGCGCUGUGGGAAGUCAAGAUUAUAGAAGAAUUACCUGGGAAGGUAAGCCAAAGAGAGUAACAGCCUCGUAUUCGAAAUAGUCUUAAACCCUAGCAGUAUCCUGAGUACGGCGAGACACGAGAAAUCUCGUU